rnacentral:rRNA from 1 species
AUUGAACGCUGGCGGCAGACCUAACACAUGCAAGUCGAACGGUAACAGGAAGCAGCUUGCUGCUUCGCUGACGAGUGGCGGACGGGUGAGUAAUGUCUGGGAAGCUGCCUGAUGGAGGGGGAUAACUACUGGAAACGGUAGCUAAUACCGCAUAAUGUCGCAAGACCAAAGAGGGGGACCUUCGGGCCUCUUGCCAUCGGAUGUGCCCAGAUGGGAUUAGCUUGUUGGUGGGGUAACGGCUCACCAAGGCGACGAUCCCUAGCUGGUCUGAGAGGAUGACCAGCCACACUGGAACUGAGACACGGUCCAGACUCCUACGGGAGGCAGCAGUGGGGAAUAUUGCACAAUGGGCGCAAGCCUGAUGCAGCCAUGCCGCGUGUAUGAAGAAGGCCUUCGGGUUGUAAAGUACUUUCAGCGGGGAGGAAGGGAGUAAAGUUAAUACCUUUGCUAAUUGACGUUACCCGCAGAAGAAGCACCGGCUAACUCCGUG